UGCCGUGUUAAGAACAAAUCCUCAAGUGUGCCAAAAGACUUGUUCAAUCUUUGAAUUAUUUUAUUUGAUGAAGCAUCAUCGAAUUUAUAACUAAAUUCAUCACUCAUAGCAGCUCUCAUUAUGCAAUAUAUUGUCGCACAGUCAUUGAGCCAUUUCUGGUAAGUGUUUCUAACCAUCAUAUUUGCAUUGGAAGCUAGUACUUCAGGUGCUGGAUCCAUAAUCAC
rnacentral:lncRNA from 1 species